GACGAACGCUGGCGGCGUGCUUAACACAUGCAAGUCGAACGGAAAGGCCCUGCUCUUGUGGGGUUCUCGAGUGGCGAACGGGUGAGUAACACGUGAGUAACAUGCCCUUGACUUUGGGAUAACUUCAGGAAACUGGGGCUAAUACCGGAUAGGAGCUCCUGCUGCACGGUGGUGGUUGGAGAGUUUCGGCGGUUGGGGAUGGACUCGCGGCUUAUCAGCUUGUUGGUGGGGUAGUGGCUUACCAAGGCUGUGACGGGUAGCCGGCCUGAGAGGGUGACCGGCCACAUUGGGACUGAGAUACGGCCCAGACUCCUACCGGAGGCAGCAGUGGAGAAUAUUGCACAAUGGGCGGAAGCCUGAUGCAGCAACGCCGCGUGCGGGAUGACGGCCUUCGGGUGGUAAACCGCUUUCGCCUGUGCCGAAGCGUGAGUGACGGUAAUGGGUAAAGAAGCAACGGCUAACUACGUG
rnacentral:rRNA from 1 species